UUUCCUGUUUUGUUUCCUUUCUCUGGUGAAAGUAACCAUGACAACGCUGACUACCGUCUGUUAUCUCUGGGCUGUGAACUCUUCACUCACCUCCUCUUGCAGGACUCAGAAAGGAUCGUUUCUCGGCUUCAAGUUUCUUCUGUUGGAUUUUCCCAUCCAUAGUCCAGCACCACAUGUACUGUAAUAAUGCUGUCUGGAGCCAGACCCUCUUCCGCAGCGCUGUGGAUUUCUAAUAUCAACUAUCAUCACUUCAGUUACCUUGGUGUGUACAUCAC